GCUGGGAUGGCGAAAUUGGUAGACGCGCUAGCCUUAGGAGCUAGUGGGGCAACCCAUGGAGGUUCGAGUCCUCUUCCCAGCA
rnacentral:tRNA from 1 species